UCUACUCUUGUAUCAUAAUGAAGUGUGUUUAUUGUGCCAAAACUGUCAAAAAAUUCAGCAUGCUGUUUCUUGUGAUGUAUGUGGUAGUUGGACACACAGAUUAUGUGGUACAGACAUUUCGAAGGAAGACUACUUAAGAGCCCAAGACCAGACUAUCAGUUUUGUGUGUUCUGUCUGCAAUGUCCAUGUUGGAAACUUUUCACUAAAUGCAACAAUUGAAUCAUCACUAUUAGCUUCUUCUGAAAGAAUAAAUAUAAAGUUCAUGGUGGCACCCAUAGCUUCAUAAAAAAAACUAAUGAGUUUACCUUUUUUGCCAAAGUCACACGUACUGUACGUGACAUUUUACCAACUUCAGGGUAAAACCACAAACGAUAAACUAAUUGAGUUAAUGGAUUAUAUGGAACGUCAAUGGAUUGACCAUAGCCUUUUUAAAAUGUCAUCUUGGAGUGUGUUUAACCAGACAAUAAGGACAAACAAUAACAUAGAAGGGUGGCAUCGACACAUCAACCACAAGGCUGGUGAGCAGCAGUUGGGGAUGUAUAAGCUGAUUAGCUUUCUUUUUGGAGAAGUCGACAUGUUGCCCCUUCAAGCCGCAUUAUUGUUCGAAGGGAAAUUGAGGAGUUAUUUCAUCCGAACAUGUACGAACGCCCAAGAAGAGAUUUACCAUGCUUGGAGAGAAUAUGAGAAUGGAGAUUUGAUUGCUAGCAUGAUGUUACGGAUAUGUUCCCGUCACCAUGGACCCGUUGAAUAGAUAGUCCUGGGCCAUAACUCUGGCAGUAAUUAUCAGAAAUCGCUGAAAAUCAAUAGACUUCUUCAUCGCAUGACCUUAAACACUGUGUAUGAAUUUAAAGUCAAUCGGAUAUUAACUUAAGCCUCUAGAGAGUUUUUAAUGUGAUCAAGGGUCAUAACUGGCAGUAAUUAUCAGAUGUCGCUUAAAAUCAAUAGGCUUCUUCGUCCCAUGACCUUAAACACUGUGUAUAAAUUUAAAUUCAAUCGGAUAUUAACUUUAGUCAACUCUAAUCUCACUUAAUGUAUCUUUAAGUGUUAAAACACAUUGUAUUUUAAU